rnacentral:rRNA from 1 species
GGGGAAUAUUGCACAAUGGGCGCAAGCCUGAUGCAGCCAUGCCGCGUGUGUGAAGAAGGCCUUCGGGUUGUAAAGCACUUUCAGCGGGGAGGAAGGCGUUAAGGUUAAUAACCUGUCGAUUGACGUUACCCGCAGAAGAAGCACCGGCUAACUCCGUGCCAGCAGCCGCGGUAAUACGGAGGGUGCAAGCGUUAAUCGGAAUUACUGGGCGUAAAGCGCACGCAGGCGGUCUGUCAAGUCGGAUGUGAAAUCCCCGGGCUCAACCUGGGAACUGCAUUCGAAACUGGCAGGCUAGAGUCUUGUAGAGGGGGGUAGAAUUCCAGGUGUAGCGGUGAAAUGCGUAGAGAUCUGGAGGAAUACCGGUGGCGAAGGCGGCCCCCUGGACAAAGACUGA